rnacentral:rRNA from 1 species
UUCCCCUAGUAACUGCGAGUGAAGCGGGAAAAGCUCAAAUUUAAAAUCUGGCGGGUCUGCCGCCCGAGUUGUAAUCUGGAGAAGCGUUUUCUGUGCUGGACCGUGUACAAGUCUCUUGGAACAGAGCGUCAUAGAGGGUGAGAAUCCCGUCCAUGACACGGACGCCCAGUGCUAUGUGAUACGUUUUCAAAGAGUCGAGUUGUUUGGGAAUGCAGCUCAAAAUGGGUGGUAAGCUCCAUCUAAAGCUAAAUAUUGGCGAGAGACCGAUAGCGAACAAGUACCGUGAGGGAAAGAUGAAAAGCACUUUGGAAAGAGAGUUAAACAGUACGUGAAAUUGUUGAAAGGGAAACGCUUGAAGUUAGUCGCGUCUUACUUGACUCAGCCUUGCCUCGGCUUGGUGUAUUUCAUGUGAGACGGGUCAACAUCGAUUUUGACCGGCAGAGAAGGGGAGCGAGAAUGUGGCAUUCUUCGGAGUGUGUUAUAGCUUACUCUCAUAUGUGUCGGUUGGGAUCGAGGCCCGCAGCGCGCCCUUGUGGCCGGAGGUUCGCCUUACGUUACGCGCUUAGGAUGUUGGCAUAAUGGCUUUAAGCGACCCGUCUUGAAACACGGACCAAGGAGUCUAACAUGCUCGCGAGUGUUAGGGUGGAAAACCCUUGCGCAGAAUGAAAGUAAAAGUUGGGAACCUCCGCAAGGGGGUGCACCGACGCCCGGCCCAGAAGUUUACGGACGGUGCUGCGGUAGAGCGCGUAUGUUGGGACCCGAAAGAUGGUGAACUAUGCCUGAAUAGGGCGAAGCCAGGGGAAACCCUGUGUGGAGGCUCGUAGCGAUUCUGACGUGCAAAUCGAUCGUCAAAUUUGGG